rnacentral:misc_RNA from 1 species
GAUGAAGAACGUAGCGAAAUGCGAUAAGUAAUGCGAAUUGCAGAAUCCAGUGAAUCAUCGAAUCUUUGAACGCACAUUGCGCCCGCCAGCAUUCUGGCGGGCAUGCCUGUUCGAGCGUCAUUUCAACCCUCGACCUCCCCUUGGGGAGGUCGGCGUUGGGGACCGGCAGCACACCGCCGGCCCUGAAAUGGAGUGGCGGCCCGUCUGCGGCGACCUCUGCGUAGUAAUACAGCUCGCACCGGAACCCCGACGCGGCCACGCCGUAAAACACCCAACUUCUGAACGUUGACCUCGAAUCAGGUAGGACUACCCGCUGAACUUAAGCAUAUCAAUAAGCGGAGGA